GAUGAACGCUAGCGCUAGGCUUAACACACGCAAGUCGAGGGGCAGCACAAGGUAGCUUGCUAUCUGGGUGGCGACCGGCGCACGGGUGCGUAACGCGUAUGCAACUUGCCCUAUACAGGAGGAUAACCCGUCGAAAGACGGACUAAUACUGCGUAUGCUCACAACUUGGCAUCAAGUGGUGAGGAAAGAAAUUCGGUAUAGGAUAGGCAUGCGUCCCAUUAGCUUGUUGGUGAGGUAACGGCUCACCAAGGCAACGAUGGGUAGGGGAACUGAGAGGUUUAUCCCCCACACUGGUACUGAGACACGGACCAGACUCCUACGGGAGGCAGCAGUGAGGAAUAUUGGUCAAUGGGCGCGAGCCUGAACCAGCCAAGUCGCGUGAAGGAGGACUGUCUUAUGGAUUGUAAACUUCUUUUAUACGGGAAUAACAAGAGUCACGUGUGACUCCCUGCAUGUACCGUAUGAAUAAGCAUCGGCUAACUCCGUG
rnacentral:rRNA from 1 species